GACAGAGGGUGCAAACGUUGUUCGGAAUUACUGGGCGUAAAGCGUGUGUAGGCGGCUAGGUAAGUCGGAUGUGAAAGCCCGGGGCUCAACUCCGGAAUUGCCUUUAAGACUGCAUCGCUCGAAUUGUGGAGAGGUAAGUGGAAUUCCGAGUGUAGAGGUGAAAUUCGUAGAUAUUCGGAAGAACACCAGUGGCGAAGGCGACUUACUGGACACAUAUUGACGCUGAGGUGCGAAAGCGUGGGGAGCAAACAGG
rnacentral:rRNA from 1 species